rnacentral:rRNA from 1 species
UACGUAGGGGCCGAGCGUUGUCCGGAGUUAUUGGGCGGAAAGCGCGCGCAGGCGGCCUCGCGCGCCCGACGUGAAAGCCCCCGGCUUAACCGGGGAGGGUCGUUGGGGACGGCGGGGCUUGAGGGCGGGAGAGGGUGGUGGAAUUCCCGGUGUAGUGGUGAAAUGCGUAGAGAUCGGGAGGAACACCCGUGGCGAAGGCGGCCACCUGGGCCGACCCUGACGCUGAGGCGCGAAGGCGUGGGGAGCGAACGGG